CACUGGGAAACACACACAGAAUCACUUUCUGGAGCCUCUGCAGACAUGACAUAAUGAAGUUGACCUCAACUUUCUUCUACCCCGUGCACCUCUUCUGAGUGGACAAACAAACUGAUGGUUGUUAUGACUAAAAAAAGCUGCAAUACCAUGAGGAAAACACAUGAAUAUAUAUAUAUAAUAAUAUAAUAUUCAAAGACACUUCACAUGGUAAACUGGGAGAGCAGCUGAACUCUGGACUCUCAGACAGCAAGUUGACCACGCACUCAUGCUGGCACACCAUCCUGGUAUGUCCGCAUACAGAUGGCCCUAAGAACCAGGUGAAUGAAAGGAAUUAAUGACUGCAAGCUGACGUUACUACUCGAAUAUCAUAGCUGCAGCGGCACCUUCUAAAUCCCUGGCCUUGAAAACACAAAUCUCUCCACCCCUUACAGACAUAGAGUAUACAGUAUAUAUUGGUCAUACCGUUUGGCUGAAGAACAGGCUGAAUGAUGGCCACACCACCCGGAGAUGUGGCGUUUGACAGCAGUACUUGGAAGUUCAACUUGCCGUUGUGUUUGUUGGCUCGGCAGAUGGAUCGCGUCACUUCUUCACUCCAAUACACAAAACCCUGUAGGAGAAUGGACAGAGUUAGCAGAACUGGACUUCAGUGUAAAAAUCUGAGAAAUUACUUUUAUCAUAACUCAAAUGUUGUAUUAAAAAGGUGGUAACAAUGUUCUUAUUAUAUUUAUAUUCAAGGUCAUUUUGCAGUGAACUUUGAUGCAAAAGUGUCACCAAUUUAGUGUCUAACCACUUGUAAAAUAUGGUCCUCAGUUCUUUAGUUUUGGCCAAAAAUGUGCUUUGAGAGGUCACAGUGACCCCCAAAAUCUAAUCAGUUCAUUCUUGAGUCCAAGUGGACGUUUGUGUCCAAUUUGAAGAAAUUCCCUUUAGGCGUUCCUGAGAUAUCGCGUUCACAAGAAUGGGACAGACGGACAACCUGAAUACCUAAUGCCUGCGGGAGCGGGUUAAAAAUCUAAGAGGAAAAUCUGUGAGUGCUCGCCUGAGGUGUGAAUUCUCUGGACUUUUGCUUCUGGCCUUCAAGGAUUUCAAGAUAUCAAAUAUAAAAGGAAAAAGAGGAGAGUUCAGUUCUGUAUCGAGUGGAACGUGUUGUCAGUAGUGCAAGACUUUCUCUUAUGGUUGUUGAGCUCUUUGCUUUGUUACUUUAAUUCUACAGUCUUCAACAAUUAUAAUAACGUUUUUUUUCGAGUGGAUGUGUGACUAAAACCUGUCUCAAGAUGCAUUGUGGUGAAAGACAUGGGUACAAACCAGUCUCCAUUCCAUCAUAGGGCUGUAAAGUGGUUGUUUUACCUCAAACACAGCCAGUCCGAAGGGCCGGUCCAGAUAACCAUUAGACUCUACCACUGUUUUACGGUGACGGCCCUCAAGAUUUACCCUGGAGAUGGUUCUCAUUCCCUGGUCAACCCAGUACAGCAGCUGGCGAGGCAUAUCUAUAAAAAAACAAAAACAAACAAACACUCAAAACAAAGUCACAUAAAACAUGACUUGCACUGUAAGGACUUCUGCUGGAAACACAUACACACACUUCCUGUUGUAAAAGGGAAGAUUUGGGUGGCUCUCAAAUUGUUUCGAACUUCUGUAAACAAUUCUGGACACGGACACGGACACGGACACACACCACACGCACACACGGAAACACACAAACACACAAACACAAACACAGAAACACAGAAACACAGAAACAAAAACACAGAAACAGAAACACACAUAGAACCACACACACCCCUUCCUGUUGUAAAAGGCAAGAUUUGGGUGGCUCCCAUUCUUUCGAACUUCUCUAAACAAUUCACAUAGAUUUGAAAUGAGGUAAACACCGACUUUAACAGAGAUCCCAAACUCACUGUACAAUUAUCUGUGUGAAAUUUUGAAACAUACCCAGAGACAGAGCGACGGGGUGGCGAAUUGAGGAAGUGACAAGAGCCACCCUGUCUCGACCGGCCAAGCUAGCCCGCUCAAUCUUUGAGGAGACGCCACACUGAGUCCAGAAGAGCAGCCUGAGAAAACAGAAGCAGCUUUGGGAAUUUCGGGUAUUGAGAGUUUUGGGGAUCAGAUUCUUGCUUUAUCCUCAUCUUUCGUCUUUUUAUGUGUAUUUUUGUAAUUUUGUGAAACGCCUGUAUUGCCCCUUUUUGUAUUAAAUGCACUAUAUAGAA